UUGGCCUUGACAUACUAAGAACUUUCCAGAGAUGGAUUGGUGCCUUCGGGAACUUAGAUACAGGUGCUGCAUGGCUGUCGUCAGCUCGUGUCGUGAGAUGUUGGGUUAAGUCCGCAACGAGCCGCAACCCUUUUCCUUAUUUGCCAGCGGGUAAUGCCGGGAACUUUAAGGAUACUGCCAGUGACAAACUGGAGGAAGGCGGGGACGACGUCAAGUCAUCAUGGCCCUUACGGCCAGGGCUACACACGUGCUACAAUGGUCGGUACAAAGGGUUGCUACCUCGCGAGAGGAUGCUAAUCUCAAAAAGCCGAUCGUAGUCCGGAUCGCAGUCUGCAACUCGACUGCGUGAAGUCGGAAUCGCUAGUAAUCGCGGAUCAGAAUGCCGCGGUGAAUACGUUCCCGGGCCUUGUACACACCGCCCGUCACACCAUGGGAGUUUGUUGCACCAGAAGUAGGUAGUCUAACCGCAAGGAGGACGCUUACCACGGUGUGGCCGAUGACUGGGGUGAAGUCGUAACAAGGUAGGCGUAGAUGA
rnacentral:rRNA from 1 species